ACAUGCCAUUUCCUCGAAUAAAGAACGCCACCGAUGAUCGUUUACGCGCGCGGUACGCCAAAACCCUUCUCCCUCUCUCAUGCUCGCCGUUUUCCCUCUGGUAAGCCCACCACCUCGCACUCUCUCUCCUCCCUAUCUCUCUCUUAUCAAGCCCCUAAGCUGCAACUUUUGAGGAAAAUUGGAACUCAAAGCGAGCGCUCUAACGCUUCGACACCAGUCUAAUGCGCUUGCAAAGAACUUCAAAGGGAAGUCCUUUGAAUACUGGAAGGAGCUGAGCAUAAUUGUCGGCAAUGAUUUUGUCGAGCGUGCUGGUGUCAGGACGGCAGCACAACUAGAGAGGGACAUUGAUGAUGUUGAGGAUGUUCGAGAGACGAUUGUAGGCUUAGAUGAUGGUGAUGGUGUUGAGGAAAUAGGUGAUGAUGAGGACUUCCCAGAGACACCGGUCCAAUCAAUCCAUUCGAGAAAUCAACAUCAUUUAUGCCAUCGAGAAAGAAAAAGAAAACCAUGGUUGACACUGUAGAGUCACUAGGUGUAGCCGUGAAAGAAAUUGGUACCUCAACUGUAGAGUUGAGGAAACCAAAAGCAAACCCACAUAUAUGAAAGGUCCGCAGAGCUCUUAAACAGGUCCACGGCCUUGCUCGACCUUUCAUGCAAGCAUAAAAUAAAAUAAUGGAAGACGUAAAUAUUAGUGAGGGAUUCUUAGAAAUGAUUGAAGAAGACCGGGUGUUUUGGAUUAACUCGAAAUAUUUUCAAGAAGGUGGUGACAUGUAAAGUGGAGUGAAAUCUACACAUUUUUUUAAGUGGUUCCUCUCUCUCUUUGUUUGACCAAGAUGGGUUUUGGACUUGAGAAUUUUUGUUAUUGAAUUGCUGUACUUACUCUCUAACACGCAUACACAUACAUCAUCUCUCUCUCUUGGUGGAUGAUGAUGAACUUCUCUAUCAGUUUCUAUAUAUGUGAUAACAUUAAUAAAUCUUGUUGAAACAAUAACAA